CCUACGGGAGGCAGCAGUGAGGAAUAUUGGUCAAUGGGCGAGAGCCUGAACCAGCCAUGUCGCGUGAAGGAAGAAUGUCCUAUGGAUUGUAAACUUCUUUUAUACAGGAAUAAAGUGUACUACGUGUAGUAUUUUGUAUGUACUGUAUGAAUAAGGAUCGGCUAACUCCGUGCCAGCAGCCGCGGUAAU
rnacentral:rRNA from 1 species